UCCGGUUGAUCCUGCCGGAAGCUACUGCUAUCGGGGUCCGACUAAGCCAUGCGAGUUGAGAGGGGUAAGCCCUCGGCAUAUUGCUCAGUAACACGCGGAUAACCUGCCCUUGGGUUCGGGAUAACCCCGGGAAACUGGGACUAAUACCGGAUAGAUCAAAGAUACUGGAAUGUUCUCUGGUCAAAAACUCUGGUGCCCAAGGAUGGGUCUGCGGCCUAUCAGGUAGUAGUGGGUGUAACGUACCUACUAGCCUACGACGGGUAAGGGUUGUGAGAGCAAGAGCCCUGAGAUGGAUUCUGAGACAUGAAUCCAGGCCCUACGGGGUGCAGCAGGCGCGAAAACUUUACACUGCGGGAAACCGCGAUAAGGGGACCCCGAGUGCCAGCACCUAGUGCUGGCUGUCCAGCUGUCCAAAUAACAGUUGUUAGCAAGGGCCGGGCAAGACCGGUGCCAGCCGCCGCGGUAACACCGGCGGCCCGAGUGGUAGCCGUUAUUAUUGGGUUUAAAGGGUCCGUAGCCGGCCUAUUAAGUCUCUUGGGAAAUCUGGCGACUCAAUCGUCAGGCGUCCAAGAGAUACUGGUAGGCUUGGGACCGGGAGAGGUGGGAGGUACUCCAGGGGUAGGGGUGAAAUCUCGUAAUCCUUGGGGGACCACCGAUGGCGAAGGCAUCCCACCAGAACGGGUCCGACGGUGAGGGACGAAAGCUGGGGGCACGAACCGGAUUAGAUACCCGGGUAGUCCCAGCCGUGAACGAUGCUCGCUAGGUGUCAGGUGCGGUGCGACCGCAUCUGGUGCCGCAGUGAAAACUUGAAGCGAGUCACCUGGGAAGUACGGUCGCAAGGCUGAAACUUAAAGGAAU
rnacentral:rRNA from 1 species